rnacentral:rRNA from 1 species
UGGGGAAUUUUGGACAAUGGGGGAAACCCUGAUCCAGCCAUCCCGCGUGUGCGAUGAAGGCCUUCGGGUUGUAAAGCACUUUUGGCAGGAAAGAAACGUCAUGGGUUAAUACCCCGUGAAACUGACGGUACCUGCAGAAUAAGCACCGGCUAACUACGUGCCAGCAGCCGCGGUAAUACGUAGGGUGCAAGCGUUAAUCGGAAUUACUGGGCGUAAAGCGUGCGCAGGCGGUUCGGAAAGAAAGAUGUGAAAUCCCAGAGCUCAACUUUGGAACUGCAUUUUUAACUACCGGGCUAGAGUGUGUCAGAGGGAGGUUGAAUUCCGCGUGUAGCAGUGAAAUGCGUAGAUAUGCGGAGGAACACCGAUGGCGAAGGCAGCCUCCUGGCAUAACACUGACGCUCAUGCACGAAAGCGUGGGGAGCAAACAGG